CCUACGGGUGGCAGCAGUGGGGAAUAUUGGACAAUGGGGGCAACCCUGAUCCAGCCAUGCCGCGUGUGUGAAGAAGGCCCUCGGGUUGUAAAGCACUUUCAGUGAGGAAGAACGCCUGGUGGUUAAUACCCAUCAGGAAAGACAUCACUCACAGAAGAAGCACCGGCUAACUCCGUGCCAGCAGCCGCGGUAAUACGGAGGGUGCGAGCGUUAAUCGGAAUUACUGGGCGUAAAGCGCGCGUAGGUGGCUUGAUAAGCCGGUUGUGAAAGCCCCGGGCUCAACCUGGGAACGGCAUCCGGAACUGUCAAGCUAGAGUGCAGGAGAGGAAGGUAGAAUUCCCGGUGUAGCGGUGAAAUGCGUAGAGCUCGGGAGGAAUAGCAGUGGCGAAGGCGGCCUUCUGGACUGACACUGACACUGAGGUGCGAAAGCGUGGGUAGCAAACAGGAUUAGAUACCCUGGUAGUC
rnacentral:rRNA from 1 species